rnacentral:lncRNA from 1 species
GCUAGGGGUCUAAUCGAAGCUACAGCUGCUGGCCUACACCACAGCAAUGCCAGAUCUGAGCUGUGUCUGUGACCUACACCACAGCUCAUGGCAACGCCAGGUCAUUAACCCACUGAGCAAGGCCAGGAAUCGAACCUCAUGGUUCCUAGUCAGAUUCGUUUCUGCUGAGCCAUGAGGGGAACUCCAAAUAUUUAUUUAUUUAUUUGUCUUUUUGCCUUUUCUAGGGCUGCUUCCAGGGCAUAUGGAGAUUCCCAGGCUAGGGGUCUAAUUGGAGCUAUAGCCACCGACCUAUGCCAGAGCCACAGCAAUGCAGGAUACGAGCCUUGUCUGCAAUCUACACCACAGCUCAAGCAAUGCUGGAUCCUUAACCCACUGAGCAAGGCCAGGGAUCGAACCCACAACCUCAUGGUUCCUAGUCGGAUUCGUUAACCACUGAGCCACGACAGGAACUCCGGGAACUCCAAAUUUAAUAUUUUUUAUUUUCCAUGCUAUUAUAGAUGAAUUUAAGAAAUUUCAUAUUCUAUUUGUUGCUCGUACAAAGAAGAAUCAAUAGUUAAAAUGACCACACUACCCAAGGCAAUCUAUAGAUUCAAAGCAAUUGCUGUUAAAAUACCAAAGGUAUUUUUCACAGAACAGGAACAAAAAUUGUUUUAAUUUAUAUGGAAACACAAAAAUCCCAAAUAGCCAAAACAAUUUUAAGCAGAACAGAGUUAGAGGGAUCAGGCCCCCUGACUAUACUAUAAAGCUACUGUAAUCGAAACAGUAUGGUACUGGUGCAAAAACAGACAGAUAGAUCAAUGGAUCAGGAUAGGAGCCCGGAAAUAAACCCACAUAUUUAUGGUCAUAAUCCACAACAAAAGGAGGUAAGAAUAAUACAAUGUAGAGAAGAGAGUCUCUUCAACAAGUGGUGUUGGGAAAAUUGGACAACUACCUGUAAAAUAAUGAAAUUAGAACAGUCUUUAACAUCAACUACAGAAAUAAAUUAAAAGUGGAUGAAUGACCUAAAUUUAAGCCAGGAAAUUAUAGAACUCCUACAGGAAAAUAUAGGCACAACAUUCUUUGAUAUAAAUCGCAGUAGUAUUUUUUUGCAGCUGAUUCCUAAAGUAAACAAAAAUAAACGAUAAUGGAAAAAAAUCAUUUAAAAAGCAAAAAAAGCAAAAAGAAACAAAUGGGACCUAAAUUAAACUUAAAAGCUUUUGUCUAGCAAAGGAAACCAUCAACAAAAUGAAAAGUCAACAUAUUGAGUUGGAGAAAAUAUUUGCAAAUGAUAUGACUGAUAAGGGACUAACAUCCAACAUAUAUAAAAAGUUCAUACCACUCAUCAAAACAACCACCACCACCCAACCUGGUUGAAAAAUGGGCGGAAGAACUGAAGAGACAUUUCUCCAAAGAGGAAAUGCAAACAGUCAACAGGCGCAUGAAAAACUGCUCCACAUGGCUAAACAUCAUGGAAAUGCAAAUCAGAACCACAAUUACUGUCACCUCAUACCGCUUAGAAUGGUUACCAUCAAAAAGAAUGCACAUAACAUGUCGGCAAGGGUGUGGAAAAAAGGGAACACGUUUACACUGUACACUUUUGGUGGGCAUGCGAUUGGUGUAGCCACUGUGGAAAACAGAAUGAAGUUUUCUCAAAAGAAAAGGAAAACACUAAUUUGAAAAGAUGUACGCACUCCAGUGUUCAUAGCAGCAUUGUUUACAGUUGCCAAGAUAUAAAAGCAACCUAAGUGUCCAUCAUCAGAUGAAUGGAUUAAGGAGAUGUGGGGUGUGUAUAUACACAUACACACUGGAGUACUAUUCAGCCAUAAAAAAGAAUGAAAAAUUUUCAUUUGCAGUAACAUAAAUGGACUUGUAGAGCAUUAUGCUAAGUGAAAAAAGUCAGACAGAGAAAGACAAAUACCAUACGAUAUCAUUUAUCUGUGGAAUCUAAAAAAUACAGCAAACUAGUGAAUAUAACAGAAAGAAGCAGACUCACAGAUAUAGAGAAAAGAGUAGUGGUUGCCAGUGGAGAGAGGGAAAGGAUAGGGCAAUACAGGGAUGGAAGAGUGGGAGGUAUAAGCUCUUGCGUGCGAGACGGACUGCAAGUAUGUGUUGUGCAACUCCAGGAAUAUAAUGAAAUAACUGUAAAUGGAAUGGAAUCUUUAAGAAUUGUAUAUAUGAUGAAAGAAUCGAUUUUUGGACAUUGACCUCAUCCUAUAAUCUUAUUGGACUGAUCUAUUAGUUCUAGAUUUUUAGGUAGACUGUUUUUAAUUGCAUAUGUAUCUAAUAUUUUAUUUAUUUAGUCUUUUUAGGGCCGCAGUGGCAGCAUAUGUAGGUUCCCAGGCUAGGGGUCGAAUCAGAGCUGUAGCUGCCAGCAUACGUCAGAGCCCCAGCAAUGAGGGAUCCGAGCCGCAUCUAUGACCUACACCACAGCUCACAGUAAUGCCGGAUCCUUAAUCCACUGAUUGAGGCCGGGGAUCGAACCUGCAACCUCACGGUUCCUAGUCGGAUUCGUUUCCACUGUGCCAUGAUGGGAACUCCUGUAUCUAAUAUUUUAUUAAAGCUCAACCUGGGCCACCAUGAUUCCAGCUCCUGAAAUCAAUUUCCUUCUCCCUCUGACCAGGUGCUAAGCCAAUGCGAUGUAUUUUAUUUUUGCCUUUUGCUACUGCAGUACUUCACUUUUAGGAAUUAAUGUCUGUAUUAGCCAGGACAGGCUAAUUGCUAUAAGUAACAAUCCUAAAAUUUCAGUGGCUUAAAUAUAAUAAAAAGAUGUCUUUAUUAUUCUUAAUUGUUUUGUCCAAUAUGGUUUAAUUAGGAGGCCAUGAAAUCAUUCAGUGACCUGGGCUCCUUCCAUUAAGUGCCCCCCCUCUUUCUCUAAGACCUCAGAGUCUUUCAUCAGUUCUUCCACAUCUGGCCAGAAAUUGAGGGGAGAGAGUAUGGAUACAAGUAUGAGGGUUUCUUAGGGGUCAGGAAGAGCCUUAUUUAUCUGCAAAGAAAGCUAGGAAGUAUCAGCUGGCUGGGUGCUUAGCAAGAAGAGAAAAUGGCUUUGGGGGAAUAUUCAACCAGUCUUUGCUGCAUGGGGCAGUAUCUCCAUUUUACAGAUAAGAACACAGGCUUGCGAGGAUGAUUUCCCAGCUUUUACAACCACAGACAUGAGAGCGUGGACCUGGACCCCAAUUUGGCGGACGCCAAAGCCAGGCUCUGCAUCCCUCUGCCCGGCACUGCCUCCCCUCCGACGGUCCCGCUGGCCUGCGCUCUCUUAGGACCUGUGGCAUCCUUUCCCCCUUGGAAGGGCUUCCUGCAAGCGUCCACUCUCCUUCUGGUUCUCGCCUUUUGAAAACAAUUGAUGAGCACUCUGUUCUCUAACAAGCAGCCCGGUCCACGGGCUUAGUCUGCAGCAGAGUCGGAGAGCCUCCGCAAUAAGACACCCAAACGACACAGAAGCAGCCCACAUCAAGCGGUUUCUCGACACGGCUACCCGCACGCCAGUGGGAUUUUAUAGCGCUGCCGAAUGCGAAGGAUCUUGGGAGAAAGGACUCGAUCUACAGCCCCGCACGCGUAAAGUGAGCACUUACCGGUGAGAAUUACAGGGUCUUCUUAGCGAACGUUGUCUCGUUGACACACUCUGAACGGAGAGGCUGAAGUUUACCCGCCAAGAGGGUUUCUUCGCAAGGCAGCCCAGUGAGGGCACGGAGAACAGUCUUAAAUCUCAGAACUCAAACCUGCCUCCCCGAAGCCGAGGGGCGGGGUAUGGAUGGGAAGGCGAAGAAAGCAACCGGGCGGUGAGCGGCGUGGGGCACGUGGGCAAAGGUAAUGGGAAGGCCUGGGAGGCAUGGUUCUGCGCAGGCGUAACUAAGUUACAGGCCCCUGCGGUGCCCGGCCGGAGGGUCCCCAUGGUCCCCGCGUUUUAACCCACUCUGCUGAACCAGAGGCAGCUCCGCCUCCAAGCUCCUAGAAAAUAACUCAGGCAAAAGUCUUAUGGUUCAGGCUACGUGCUGCUCGGAGGGCUUGUAAGUGUUAAAACGACCUUGAUUAGUGGAGGCAGGUGGAAUGGAUUUGAUGACUCCUCACGCGGGGCUUCAAUCUCACAAAACUGGCUCCUGGCUGCCACUUCUUAGAGAGUGAGGGCUGGGGUUGUUGCUGGGCUUCCCCCUCCUCAAGCAGUGCCAGGCAAUGUAAGGAAGAACUGUUGGAGGAAGUUUGCAUGGACCAAGUUGGACAUCAGCGUGUCAGCCAUGGCGGGGCAUGGGAGGGUCCAAGGCUUUUUCUUUAAAGCUGAGUACAGGCAGGAGUUCCCAUCAUGGCGCAGCGGAAACGAAUCCAACUAGGAAUCAUGAGGUUGCGGGUUUGAUCCCUGGCCUCACUCAGCAGGUCAAGGAUCGGCAUUGCCAUGAGCUGUGGUGUAGGUUGCAGACAAGGCUGGGAUCUGGUGUUGCUGUGUCUGUGGUGUAGGCCAGCGGCUACAGCUCCAAUUCGACCCCUAGCCUGAGAACCUCCAUAUGCUGCAGGUGCAGACCUAAAAAGGCAAAAAAAAGACCGAAAAAGAAAAAAGAAAAAAGGAAAGAAAAAGCUGAGUACUGGCAGAAGGGGUGGGGGCAGUACUGAAUGGUGAAGGGGCCACGGGGACCCUCACCUCACCAGCAUUACAUUUACAUUUGGCUCUAAGAGUGGUCUCUGCUCUUACACUUAUUUGGUAUUUGCUUAAUAACUCUUCCAGGGAAGAGUUAGAGAACAUGUCAGUCAUGGAGUUCCCGCUGUGGCUCAGUGGGUUAAGAACCCCACAGGGUGUCCGUGAGGAUGCAGGUUCCACCCCUGGCCUUGCUCAGUGGGUCACAGAUUCGGCACUGCCGCAAGCUGCAGCGUUGGUUGCAGAUGCGGCUUGGAUCCAGUGUUGCUGUGGCUGUGGUGUAGGCCGGCAGCUGCGGCUCCUACUUGACCCCUAUGCCUUCCCGCAAAGAGGGCAGAGCCCCCACCCUGGCAAUGCUGUACCCGUUGGCUGGGCUGGCCUCCAGGGGGCUCCUCGGCUCUGCUGGGAAACAGGACUUGUUCUGGGGAUCUAGAAUUCUACAUCCUGCUCAUUAUCAGUUCAAGUAAGCAAAGAACUUGUCUUUUGAUUUCCCCAGGAUUGAAUCUGCUUGGCGGAUCGUUUGGCUUUUCACUUUAAAUAGCUUUCUGGAGACAUUGGUGGUGAGAUGCUUAAACACAGCUGCGUUGUAUUCCUCUCUCUACACACUCUUAUCCCACUGGGUUAUGGGGUCUGCUUCUCCCUCCCUUUCCAGGGGCUGUGAUCCCUGGCAGUGCAUUUCUAAUGAAGGAAAAAAAAAAGUAUGUUGGGAGAGUUCUGAGUUUUUGUCAAAAUCUUCUGCAUGGGAGUUCCCACUGCGGCAAAGCGGAAAUGAAUCCAACAUCCAUGAGAAUGUGGGUUUGAUCCCUGGCCUUGUUCCAGUGGGUCGGGGAUCUGGCGUUGCCAUGAGCUCUGGUGAAGGUCGGCAGCUGCAGCCUGGGAACUUCCAUAUGCUGUGGGUGUGGCCCUAAAAAGCAAAAAUAAAAUAAAAUAAAAAUAAAAAAAUGGAUUUUUAUGACACUUGAAAUUUGGCCGAGUUGGAUUUAAGCCUGGCUGCAUUUAGAAUGUAUUGGUAUGACCUGAAGUCUGAGAGACAUGGAAUUUGGAGGGUGGGAAGGUGGGUUGAUUGGACAAUGACCAUGGGCUAAGUAGUUUGUUCAUGUAUCUAAAUAUUUAUUGAUCUCCUCCUAUGUGCCUGGCAGGGUGAGAGAUGCCCUAGAAAUAGCGAUGAAAGAUAAAUAUUUAACCACAGGAAUCCAGUGUUUUUUGUGGGGGAAGGAAAAUCCGGAAAGACAUGCUGACAGGAUGGCCUAAAGAGAAUUAUGCAUAAGGGUAUGGGGACCUGGACAAGGAACACCCGCCUCAUUGGAGCCUGCGGGUGAGCCUACUGGAGAGCUGACUCAGGCUGGCUGUUUUGUUUUGUUUCGUUUCUAUCCUACCCUAUCUUAUCCUCUCCUAUCCUAUUCUAUUCUAAAUUUUUUUUUUUAAGGCCACACCUGCGGGAUAUGUAGGUUCCCAGGCUAGGAGUUGAAUUGGAGCUGCAGCUGCCAGUCUGCACCACAGCCAUGGCAACGUCAGAUCCAAGCCAAGUCUGCGACCUACACCACAGCUCAUGGCAACACCGGAUCUUUAAUCCACUGAGCAGAGCCAUGGAUACUUGGUGGGGUUUGUUUCUGCUGAGCCACAGCGGGAACUCCCAUUUUUUUUUUUUAAAAAGGGGGAAAAACAGUGUGCUGGAAGGGUGGGAAGACGCCGGUGGGAGGAGACGUGGUUUCUCCCGGUGAGGUCCAGAAUGGCUGGGGAGCCCCUAAAAGUCUGGGGAGAGUGGACAGCUGCACUCUGAGCCGGACCUGGGAUGAAGGCUGGAAAGCUCUUGGGGGCAGAUGACGGCAACACCUCAGACCUCAGGGACGGCCCUGGGAGCAGCGGGAGCUGGAAUGGAUCAGAAGUGGGCAGUGACAGUGAGGAGACCCCCCACCCAGCUGCCUGGAGCCGGCAGUGAAAGGCCCUCCAGGCUCCGCCCCCACCCCAGCCACACGCGAUUUUGUUUAUUUAUUUACUUAUCUGUCUUUUUGUCUAUUUAGGGCGGCACCCACAGCCUAUGGAGGUUCAUAUGGAGGUUCCCAGGCUAGGGGUCCAAUCAGGGCUGUAGCUGCCGGCCUACACCACAGCCCCAGCAACACGGGAUCCCAGCCACAGACUCGGCUUGUCUGCGACCUACACCGCAGCUCACGGCAAUGCCGGCUCCUUAACCCACUGAACGAGGCCAGGGAUCGAAUCCACAUCCUCAUGGAUCCUAGUCGGGCUCGUUAACCAGUGAGCACGAAGGGAACUCUGUGUUGGCACAUUUGAAACGCAGCGGUGGGUUAGGAAUGUGUAUUAACUUCUAAACAACUAAACAACCUUCGGGAGAUGCCCCUUGUUAACAAUGACCUCUUUGUUAACAAAUUUCAUUUUUUGUUUGUCUCAGAACUGGUCUGGCUCUAGAAUAAAUCAACGUGCUGGGCCGAGGGUACAGUGAUUCCAAACAGUUUAAUGUAAUUCCAAGACAGAGUGUGAUUACAUUUCUACACAUAUACAAUAUGCAUAUGUGAGUUUACGAAUUUUAAUUAAUAACUCGUUUCACCUCAGAGACCGAAAAAAUGAUCAAAAAGAAACUGUGAGUAACAAGCUAUAACAUAGUUCACACGACGGGACCCCCCUUUCUCACCCUACAGUUAGUAAUAUUACAAUUAAAAUAACUAUAUUCUUCUAUAAUUUUUUUUCUGUUAAAAUCAUCUCAUAAAUUUACAAUGCUAUUAUUAGUUUCCAAGACUAAUAUAAAUUCACUCCAUUUUUCUACAACGAAAAUGAUCAUUAAUUUAGAAGCACACGACGUCAUGAUGAAAAACACAAGCAUUUUAGUAGCAAGGACUUGAUCAGAUAAGAAUUAUUUUUCUUGUAAAACAUUCUAAAGCCAAGUAAAAUAUCCAUUCUUAUAACAUACCUAUAAUAUGAGACUAAGGAAUAGGUUACAUAUAGGCCUACAACACAUUGGUUUGUCUUUUAAAAAAAGUAGACAUUUAUAAAUAAAAAAAGAAAAGAGGGACAAUUCACAUAGGAAAAAGAGGUACACGAGAAAAUACUGUUGCACGCAAUAGUUUUCACAAGGAUUAACAUGGAUUAACACUUUUUAUUACAGAAACCGUACAGUGAAGGAACACAACAGAGCAGGGCUUCCCGAGGGUAACUGAGCGGAGGGACCUGGUAGAGAAGGUCUGGGCGAGACGACCCUGGGGAGGAGCUACGUUCCUUGGACCGGGGACCGAGCCUCCCCCGGUCCCCUCUUCCCUGCUCUCGUUCUGGGGAGUGUGUCUUCCUGUCCAGAGUGUCCUGAAUUCGUGGGCAGCUGCAAGGUCAACAUUUCUACGGAUCCGUUCUCUUUCCGGCCUAAUGGAUACCAUUUUUGGAAAUGGGAUAGAAUAUCAGAGGCUGCCGCUCAAUACCCACGGUCGAAGCAAAACGGGAUGGAAAAUUCCAGUCAUCCUGAUGUGUUGCCUCCCCUCACUCGUCUAUGCCCUUGUCGCUGGGGACCCAGAGAGAGCAGUGGCACCCUGCAGGGCCUCUUGCCUCCGCAGUGGCGAGGUGGUGGCGGGGGGCCGGGCGCCCUGCCUUGGGCCCACGUGCGAAGAUGCAGCCUGGGCUGUGGUCCAGGGCUCCUCUAAUAUGCCAACCAACACUGACUCAGGCUUUUCAAAUCGCCUCUUCCUCCUCAUCUGUAAAGCUAUACUUUUCCUAUCAGAAAUUUGG